rnacentral:rRNA from 1 species
UACGUAGGGUGCGAGCGUUGUCCGGAUUUAUUGGGCGUAAAGGGCUCGUAGGCGGCGUGUCGCGUCGGGAGUGAAAGACCGGGGCUUAACCCCGGUUCUGCUUCCGGUACGGGCAUGCUGGAGUGUGGCAGGGGAGACUGGAAUUCCUGGUGUAGCGGUGGAAUGCGCGGAUAUCAGGAGGAACGACCGGUGGCGAAGGCGGGUCUCUGGGCCGUUACUGGACGCUGAGGAGCGAAAGCGUGGGGAGCGAACAGG